AACGAACGCUGGCGGCAGGCCUAACACAUGCAAGUCGAGCGCGCCCUUCGGGGUGAGCGGCGGACGGGUGAGUAACGCGUGGGAACGUGCCCUUCUCUGCGGAAUAGCCUCGGGAAACUGAGAGUAAUACCGCAUACGCCCUUUGGGGGAAAGAUUUAUCGGAGAAGGAUCGGCCCGCGUUGGAUUAGGUAGUUGGUGGGGUAAUGGCCCACCAAGCCGACGAUCCAUAGCUGGUUUGAGAGGAUGAUCAGCCACACUGGGACUGAGACACGGCCCAGACGAGGAGAGGAGGAAACAGGGGGAAAGGGAAGAGAAGGGGAGCAACGCUGGUAGAGCAGGGUGGGGUGAGUGAUGAAGGCCUGAGGGAGGUAGGGGUAAAUGAGAUGGGAAAAAAACAACGGAACGAGCAGAAGAAGCCGAGGCAAACGCCGUGAGAGCAGACGGGGGAAGAAGCGGAAGAGAACAGGUAGGAAC
rnacentral:rRNA from 1 species